rnacentral:piRNA from 1 species
UGCUGUGCCACGUGACUUGGAAGUCUGUC